rnacentral:rRNA from 1 species
UACAGAGGUCCCGAGCGUUGUUCGGAUUCACUGGGCGUAAAGGGUGCGUAGGUGGUGGGGUAAGUCGGAUGUGAAAUCUCGGAGCUCAACUCCGAAAAGGCAUUGGAAACUGCCCUGCUAGAGGGUCGGAGGGGGGACUGGAAUUCUCGGUGUAGCAGUGAAAUGCGUAGAUAUCGAGAGGAACACCCGUGGCGAAGGCGAGUCCCUGGACGACACCUGACACUGAGGCACGAAAGCUAGGGGAGCAAACAGG